rnacentral:rRNA from 1 species
GAUGAACGCUAGCUACAGGCUUAACACAUGCAAGUCGAGGGGAAACGACAUCGAAAGCUUGCUUUUGAUGGGCGUCGACCGGCGCACGGGUGAGUAACGCGUAUCCAACCUGCCCACCACUUGGGGAUAACCUUGCGAAAGUAAGACUAAUACCCAAUGACGUCUCUAGAAGACAUCUGAAGGAGAUUAAAGAUUUAUCGGUGAUGGAUGGGGAUGCGUCUGAUUAGCUUGUUGGCGGGGUAACGGCCCACCAAGGCGACGAUCAGUAGGGGUUCUGAGAGGAAGGUCCCCCACAUUGGAACUGAGACACGGUCCAAACUCCUACGGGAGGCAGCAGUGAGGAAUAUUGGUCAAUGGACGAGAGUCUGAACCAGCCAAGUAGCGUGCAGGAUGACGGCCCUAUGGGUUGUAAACUGCUUUUAUAAGGGAAUAAAGUGAGUCUCGUGAGACUUUUUGCAUGUACCUUACGAAUAAGGACCGGCUAAUUCCGUGCCAGCCGCCGCGGUAA